GUGCCCUUGGCAGCACAUACACUAAAGUUAGAACGAUACAGAGGAUAGCAUGGCCCUGUGCGAGGAUGGCACACAAGUUCAUGAACUGUUCCAUAUUUAA
ensembl:snRNA U6 U6 spliceosomal RNA